rnacentral:rRNA from 1 species
CAAGGAAUUUUCCGCAAUGGGCGCAAGCCUGACGGAGCAACGCCGCGUGCGGGAGGACGCCCUUCGGGGUGUAAACCGCUUUUCGGGGGGACGAAGGAAGUGACGGUACCCCCGGAAGAAGGCCCGGCUAACUACGUGCCAGCAGCCGCGGUAAGACGUAGGGGCCGAGCGUUGUCCGGAGUUACUGGGCGUAAAGGGCGCGCAGGCGGCCGGUCGCAUCGGCGGUGAAAGCCCCCCGCUCAACGGGGGAGGGUCCGUCGAGAUGGAUCGGCUGGAGGCAGGGAGAGGGCGGUGGAAUUCCGGGUGUAGUGGUGAAAUGCGUAGAGAUCCGGAGGAACACCAGUGGCGAAGGCGGCCGCCUGGACCUGACCUGACGCUGAGGCGCGAAGGCGUGGGGAGCGAACGG